ACACUAAAAUAUAUUUGGUGAUAAAAUCACCAAGAAACUAAAAAUAAAAGCUAAGUUAAUGGUUGCUUCCGCACUUCAUCUUUCACAAAAAUCAUACUAAAGAGUUUCUUGCACUCUUUCUUCACCCAAUUUUACACACAAACACUCUUUUUCAUUCAUUGCCAAAUGUUGUCCAAUAAAAAUCAUUUAAAAAAAUGAUACGGUCAGAUUUUGAAAUCUAUCCAAAAAAUGAUAUCUUCUUCUUUCCUUCCCGUUUAUGGAUCUUCAGCCAAAGGAGAAGAAGAACAAGCGACUGUACAUCCCUCCUCCUCCCCCUCGUUCUUUCCCCUGUCAAAAAUCAAACCCAAAAACACCCAUCUAAGUUCUAUUUCUCCAUUUUCCUUUCUGCUUCUUUUUUUCCUGUCAAACACCAAACGAACAAUCCUUUUGCCCUCCAUCGAUUUCUAUCAAAACAAGAACAAAAGAAAAAAAAAACAGAGAUACCUUCUUGAGAUUGACCUCCAAUCACCGAACUAUCUGCACUUGAACCUUCCCCUUUCCCUUCGCGAUCCACUGCCGGAGAAGAAGCAAGCAGUCGAGAGGCUGCUUGAGCGGCCCCUCGCUGUAACCACCAAGACAAACGAAAUCCCUCGCUGCUCUUCACUCCUUCUCUUCGGCCUCAUCGAUCCUCGGGGACGUUCCUUUUUCGCGAUCGAUAGACAAAACCAUCGGACCAACUUCUUGCUUUCCUUCGCACCUCGCAGACGGACGAGAACGAAGACAACUCACUGCUUCGUCCCCUUCGUCGCUUCGGUCUCGUCGACCCCCGGAAACGCCUACCACAUCGCGAAUCGACCGACGAAACUACUUUAUCGCUGUGAGCCUUCGUUCAUCAGUUUCGUUCCUUCGUGGUCCGUUCGUUUCUACAUUGGUAUGACUGAUUGAACAAAUGAAGAUGGGACACAAAAAGCCCUAAUUCCAUUAAGUUUGGGCCAUUAAACAAAAACGGCACCUCCAUGAUAUUCCUUUUCAUAAAAGCCCUAAUUUCAUUUAACUUUGAUGAAAUAACCGAAUUACCCCCAUAUUGAGACAUUUAUUCGAAAUCAGUCCCAAAUCCCCAAACAUUGAACCCAUUUAUUUAAAAUAGCCACUCCUUGGUUAUUUUUAGCUAAACAGAUCCCAAUAUUCAAACAUUAAUCCCAUUUGAACCAUUUUAG
rnacentral:lncRNA from 1 species